UUCGACCAUAUCAUAUCGAAACUUUGGUUUCCAUACGAUCACCGAAGUUAAGCAACGCCGAGCCUUGUCUGUACUUAGAUGGAUAAGCGCAUGGGAAUGCCAAGUGCAGUAAG